AGCUUUGCACAGUGACAGUAUUGUAGCCGAUGAGAUUUAUCCAAGGUACAAUUAUUGGUAAUUAGAAAUUUGACAUGUUGG
rnacentral:snRNA from 1 species